AUGGGUUCCACCAAGCCACUCCGGCUGAUCCAGCACAAGAAGGAGGCCCUCUGGUUCUACAGCUUCAUCUCCUUCGGCUACGACCAUGUGUUCAACCCAGGCCAAUACACCGAGGACAUGCGCGACAUCUCCCUGGAGCAUGCUCGCCUCCAUAGCCGGGCCCUCAAGGUGGUCGACGUCGGUGGUGGCACUGGCUUCACCACGCUCGGCGUCGUCCGGUAUGUCGACCCCGAGAACGUGACGCUGCUCGACCAGUCGCCGCACCAACUCGACAAGGCCAGAAAGAAGAAGGCCCUCAGGGGCAUCAAGAUCAUGGAGGGUGACGCCGAGGACCUCCCCUUCCCCGCCGACACCUUCGACCGAUACGUCUCCGCUGGCAGCAUUGAGUAUUGGCCUGAUCCGCAGCGGGGGAUCAAGGAGGCCUACAGGGUCCUGAGCGCCGACGGCGUGGCUUGUAUGAUAGGCCCCGUUCGCCCGACGUUCUGGCUAUCUCGCUUCUUCGCUGACAUGUGGAUGCUCUUCCCCACGGAGGAAGAGUACAUCGAGUGGUUCGAGAGGGCUGGCUUCAAGGAUGUCGAGCUCACCAGAAUCGGGCCAAAGUGGUACCGCGGUGCCCGUAGGCAUGGCCUGGUCAUAGGGUGCUGUGUCACAGGCAUCAAGACACAAAGCGGGGACUCCCCUUUGCAGCUUGGUCCGAAGGCCGAGGAUGUUAGCAAGCCACAUGUGAACCCCAUCUUCGUCUUCUUUCGGUUCCUCAUUGGGACAAUUUGUGCCACAUACUUCUUCCUAGUGCCCAUUUACAUGUGGAUCAAGGACAAGAUUGUGCCCCAAGGCCGGCCUAUCUAA
rnacentral:rRNA from 1 species